GGUUGCUUGGUUUAGUGGUAUAAUUCUCGCUUAGGGUGCGAGAGGUCCCGGGUUCGGUUCCCGGAGCAGCCC
rnacentral:tRNA from 1 species